CAGGCUUGCAAAAGCUCUGAAACCACUGUUUAUCUACCUGAAUCUGCUUCGGCGGGCGGCCCCAGGGCGGGGCCGUAGCCGCAAGGCGCCCGCCGAAGACCCCUAAACUCUGUCGUCUUGAGAAUCUCUGAGUAUCAUAUUAAACAAAAAA
rnacentral:misc_RNA from 1 species